rnacentral:lncRNA from 1 species
AUGCAUUUAGAUGUCGUACUUCCAACAGUCAGGGGACAGUUUCAGGAAGGUCACCAACCUCUUGGAGGCUACAGGGGCCUAUGGACCCCACGCUACAAAUCAGCAACCAGCUUCAUACCCCACUGGACUGUCAGGGAGACAGAGGGCAGGGGUCCUGAGAGAAAGCCCAGCCUGGUGCCCCAGUCACAUGCUUGUCUUGUCGCUGUUUCCCUGUGCUCCCGCGUGCCAGGGCCCCCAGUUUCCAGCGCCCACCCACUUCCUCAGUCAGCUCCCUCUGGGGGCACUGCAAGGCCAGGAAGGGCAAACACCCCGGUGCGUCCUGGGGGACAGAAGGGCGCGCACCACGCGUGUGGCUCCGGAGCCCCGAGGGCCCCGCGCCUUGCGCCGCCCCCGCCCCCCCCCGGCCGGCUCCCUCCUCCCUCCCUCCUCCCUCCCCCCCCUCGCUCCCUCCCUCCCUCCCUCUCCCCCUCCCCCCUCCCUCCCUCCGCGCUCAGAGCUGCGGCUGGAGCCGAGCGCGCCGCGUCGCCCGCCGUCGCCAGUGCGGAGCGUGGGGAGCACUCGGCCGCAGCCCUCGCCUGCCGCGGAGGGUCGCGCCCGGCGCCGCCGGCCAGGCUGCCCUGUGCCCGGGCCUUUCCGUCCUUGGAGCGGAUCGUUGCCCGCCGGGCGCCCGCCCGCAGUGACAGCACCCGCCGGAGCCGAGGCCGCGGCGGCGGCCGUGCCCAUGACCGGGUAAGUGGUGCCCCGGGCGCGCGGGCGGGGGCGGGCGGGGCGGGCGGCCGGGCAGGUGGUGCGGCCGGCAGGUGGGGGGACGCGGGUCCCCGCCCGCAGCACCUGCGCCCCACGCCGGGCCUGCGUGUCCUUGUGGCGCCCUGGCCGCGCGUCACCCCAGGGCCCUGGGCGGGCGGGCAGCGCCCCGCACUCUGCACCCCGCACCCUGCGCCCCGCAUCUCGCGCGCACGCGCAUCUGUGUCUGGGGAAAAAGGCUGCUGGGGGCUGCGGGCAGGGUCCCAGGCAGGCACAGCUGGGAGCGCCCGGCCUAGGGAGAGCCGGGCUGCGCGAACGCACCUUCCCAGAGCAUCACGGCACCCCCUCCCCCCCCCCCCCUCCCCCCCCCCCCGCGCCCUCACACUGUGUCAUGCUCCCCCGACACACUGUCUGAGAAACCCUCACACUUCUCACACUGUCCCCCGCACGCCCACACAGCCACCCAGUCUACCCCCCACUCGCAUAGGCAGUGCCAACGGCAAGCCACCCCGGCCACACUUGGGUAACUCCUUCUCCAUCCUUCCAUGCACAGCUGUCCUCCCCUCCUCACCUGUGUGA